UACGUAGGUGACCAGCGUUGUCCGGAUUUACUGGGCGUAAAGAGCGCGCAGGCGGUCGUUCAAGUCGAGUGUGAAAGCCCCCCGGCUCAACUGGGGAGGGUCAUUCGAUACUGAUCGACUUGAAGGCAGGAGAGGGAAGUGGAAUUCCCGGUGUAGUGGUGAAAUGCGUAGAUAUCGGGAGGAACACCAGUGGCGAAGGCGACUUCCUGGCCUGUUCUUGACGCUGAGGCGCGAAAGCUAGGGGAGCAACGGG
rnacentral:rRNA from 1 species